AUGGAACUGGAGUGUGGUAAAGCGUGUUGGGAUCAGGGAGAAUGUUCUCCCUAUCCUCGGUCUGUGGAAGAACAGUGGAAGUGGAUUCUUGAUCAGGUGGUGAGUGGCAUGAAAGAACAGGACAGGGAAAGAGAAUUGGAUGCAAUAAAAAAGUUGUGGAAGGAAGCUCAGAAGCAAAAGAUCCUUCCCCCUCCAGAGGUGAAGGUUAAUUUAACUGAAGCAUUGUGUAAGUGGGAGUCAGAAACUCACACCAUAUUACAGGAUCAUCUUGAUAAUCCAAAAUUAGGUUUUAUAGCAGGAAAAUCAUGGCAAAAACAGGGUAAGGAGUUAGAAGAUAAGCGUCGAAGGAUACAUGUUGUGGCUGUGGCAUGUGCAGCGGUGCACAAUUGCAGAUCUAAAGGGGUAACACGAGUGCCUAAUGUCGAGAAGCCUCCAUUAGAAGAUUUAAAUCAGACAUUGACACUUAACACCACUCUUUACCCAUCAUUACCUACUACCUCUUCUCCACCCCCAUAUCAAUUGCCAGUUUUGACUAUUAACAGUGGUCAGUUAGAUGUGGACAGAGAUGAAGAACUGCAGGAGUUACGUGAAACAGUGUGGGACCUUCGGAGACAGGUCAGCAGGAUGAAACAGGGACAGGAAGAGGAUGGAGAUAAGUUAGGAAAAAAUGAAUUUAGAGAGGAAGCUCAGGUGGUUCGCCCUAAAAUCUCCCAACAAACUACAUUUAAAAAACAGGAUAGUCAAAAAUCUACAUUAAAUAUCUUUAAAACUUCUAGCAAUCAAAUAAAACAAGUAAAAAGAGUUGAUCCCUCAGGAGGAUUUGCCAGGGCUGACUGCAGGGAGGAGAAGGCAAGAUUGAUUUAUGGCAGUGAUAAAGAGGAGAGUGAGAAUAAGACAGAUAACUUCAAAAUUCCGGCUACAUUUAUUGGAGAAUUGGAGCGUCAGGAGCCUGUUGAAACUCAGACAGAAUUAUAUGAAAAGGAUCAGGGUUCAAGUACGGGAAAUUGUGAGUUAGAAUUGUGGGAGGAAAGUGAGUUGGCACAUGGGUUCCUUACGAGGUGUAAAGAGGAAUGGAUGUGUGCCACAGGGUGCCAUCCUGGCUCAGAUAAUUUGCACACCACUUUAUUCCGUCAGGCCAUAAUUUUAGGACUUCCACAACCAGCGAAAGAAGCCAUGGAAGGAAAUCCUGACCUUCCAGGCAGUAUAGCAGAUGUCAGGGAGAGACAUCUUUCACACCACAUCAACACAUUUAAAGUUAAACAACAGGGAAAGAAAGAGGGGGUGGUGACAGGGCAGGAACAGCUCCUAAAAAUGCAGUUAGAUGAGGCACAGAAAAAGCUUAAUGAUAAACGAAGGGAAGAGAAACAGAUGGUUCGGCGGUUUUUUUCGGCAGAUGCAGCCAGAUCCGGUAGGUCCGCAGCAAGAUUUUGUUCCUAG
rnacentral:lncRNA from 1 species